AUGCUUUUUGGGUUAAAAAAACAUAACCCAACGCCGUUUCUCUCUCUUGGCGAUUUUUGGAGAAAUUUUCGGCGAACGUUUCUGCCGCUCCAGUGCUCUAUUCCAUCUCUUUGCUUCCUGUUCCGGUCAAUCUCAUGGCUUCUACUCCCGCUGGAGAACGAAAGGGGCUUCAUCUCUCAGGUGAACAAACGGGGCUUAACGAACAGUGGUUCAUCUCUCCUUGACUUCAGAUCUGAGCCUGCGAAUGAUCUCAUCAACUAGAGAUUGAAAAAUCUGAAUCUUAAUAAGGGUGAAGAUGCUGCCAUAGUUCAACGUGAAGAACGAGAAGGUAUGACACUGGGCAGCCUUGGUUUCAACGUGAAGAAUUUUAAAAAUAUCCCUCCUUGCAAUACCUUUUUUGGAAAUUCGGGGAGAAUAUAUACGAAGAAAAAUUAAGGUCGGUUCUGGCUGGUCCAACGGCAGACACAUCAAUUCCUUGGGACUUUUGCAUUUAUUACUUGGAACUCUAUGGGAAACGCAUGUGCAUGGUGGCACUGCAGUAAUGUCUAUGGGUGUAUUUUAACAUAAGUUUAACAUGUAAUAUGAUUUCAAAGCAGUAGAAAAUAAGUUUAGCGCAUAAAAUUGACUUAAAGAUCCACAAUUUCAAAGUAAGCAUGCCACAAAUUCUACAUAAGUUCAUACUUGUCUAUGUAACAUAGGUUGGGUAAGGAAUAAAUUAACUCAACGACA